UACGAGGGGGGCAAAUGUUGUUCGGAAUCAUUGGGCGUAAAGCGCGCGUAGGUGGCCAUGUAAGUCCGCUGUGAAAGUCAAAGGCUCAACCUUUGAAAGCCGGUGGAUACUGCAUGGCUAGAGUACGGAAGAGGCGAGUGGAAUUCCUGGUGUAGCGGUGGAAUGCGCAGAUAUCAGGAGGAACACCAAUAGCGAAGGCAGCUCGCUGGGACGUUACUGACACUGAGGCGCGAAAGCGUGGGGAGCGAACAGG
rnacentral:rRNA from 1 species